GUGUGUCUGACCCAAGCCAUGGUGUUUUAAAUUGCAUCUGCAUGCGAAAGCUGAACAGUGAAUAUGGAAGACUGAAGAAGAAUCAAUGCCUUUGAAUUAAUGGUGUUGGCGAAGAAUAUUGAGUAUACCAUGGACUGCCAGAGGAACGAACAAAUCUCUCAUGGAAGAAGUACAACCAGAGUUUUCCUUGGAAGCAAGGAUUGCAAGACUUCUCUCAUGCUUUGGAUAUGUUAUCAGGAAGGAUCAGUCCCUGGAGAAGGACAUCACGCUUGGUAAGGUGGAUGGAGGGUCAGUGAAAGAGAGGAAGACCCUCAACGAGGUGGAUUGACACAGUGGCUGCAACAAUGGGCUCAAACAUAGCAACAAUUGUUAGAAUGGCACAGGACUACACAAUUUUUCGUUUUGUUUUCCAUAGGGUCACCAUUAGUUGGAACCAACUCGAUGGCAUCUAACAACAACAACAACAAUAAUAAUACUCCAGUGAACAUUGGUAAGCAGGAAACUAAGACCCUGAGUCUUAGGCUGGGUGUUCUAGAGAAGCAAAUCCAGUAAAGCGGAUAAGUACAUAUAGAGAGAGAUUUGUGUGAAGGAAAUGGCUAAUGUGGUCGUAGAGGCUGGAACAUCCUAAAUCCGUGGAUUAGGCUGGAGACUUCUCAUGAAUCACAUAGCGGCAGGGCUGGGGAACCCAAAAUGGGCAGGCAAGAUGGCAGGUAAGCUGCUAGCUCAAGUCCCAAUAACUGGAGGUCAGACAAACAGGAGCCAGCUGCAGAGUCCAGAAUGAGCAAAAGUCCAUGACCCUUGCCAGAAAGUCUACCUAUAUUGGUUGCAGGCCACACCCCCAAGGAAACUCCCUUUCAACUGAUUGGCGACUCACAGCAGAUCCCAUCAUUGAGAUGAUUACAUUACAUCAGAUCUUAUCAUGGAAGUGAUUACAUCAUUAUACGACUGCCAAACCACUGAAAGUCACAGCCCAAUCAAUUUGAAACACAACCAUAAUGAUCACACCCUGCUUUCAAGUCUUUUGGGUAGGUAUAUACCUAACAGUGCAACGGCGGAGUCAUAUGGUAAUUCUGUUUAACUUUAUGAGGAACCACCAAACUUUUCCACAGCAACUACACCAUUUUACAUUCCCACCAACAAUUGAUUAGGGUUCCAAUUUUUCCAUAUCCUUGCCAAUACUUCUUAUCUUCCAUUUUUCUGGUAAUAGUUAUCCUAGUGAGAGUGAAGUGGUAUUGUGGUUUUGAUUUGCGUUUCCCUAAUGAUUAACGACGUGUCAAGCAUCUUUUUUUCCCUUAAGUUAAAUUAUUUUUUUGUUUAUUGUACUUUAGGUGAAGAUUUAAAGAAAAAACUAGUUUCUCAUUUAACAUUUAAUACACAUACUGUUCUGUGACAUUGGUUGCCAACCCCACGACAUGUCAACACUCUCCCCUUCUCAGUCUUGGGUUCCCCAUUACCAGCUUUCCUGUCCCCUGCUGCCUUCUUGUCCUUGCCCCUGGGGUGGUGUGCCCUGUUAAGUCUCCUUUUGUUUUAUGGGCUUGUUUAAUCUUUGGCUGAUGGGUGAACCUCAGGAAUGAUGACUUCAUUACUGAGCUAAAAGUGUGUCUGCGGCCAUACUCUAGGGGUUUCUCCAGUCUCUGUCAGGCCAAUAAGUCUGGUCUUUUUUUGUGAGUUAGAAUUUUGUUCUGCAUUUCUCUCCAACUCUGUCUGGAACCCUCUGUUGUGAUCCCUGUCAGAGCAGUUGGUGAUGGUAGCCGGGCACCAUCUAGUUGUGCUGGACUCAGUCUGGUGGAGGCUGUGGUAGUUGUGUUCCAUUAGUUCUUUGAGUUAAUCUUUCCCUUGUGUCUUUGGUUUCCUUUAUUCUCCCUUGUGUUGAGCAUCUUUUUAUGUGCUUAUUGACUGUUUGUAUGUUCUUUAGAGAAAUGUCUGUUCAAAUCCUUUGCCCAUUUUUAAAUUUGGUGGUUUGUUUUUUGUUGUUAAGUUGUAGGGUUUUUUUUUUUUUUUUUUUAAUAUUCUGGGUACUAAACCCUUAUCAGAUACAUGGUUCCUAAAUAUUUUCUCGGAUUCUGUAGGUUUUCUUAACUUCCUUGAUAAAAUCCUUUGGAAGUUUUUACAUUUGGAGAACUGGAUUUAUCUGUUUUAUCUUUUGUUACUAAUGCUUUUGGUGUUAUAUCUUAGAAUCCACUGUCAGAAACUGGAUCCCAAAGCGUGUUUUAUUCUUAGCAUUUUAAGCUUUUAGUUCUGACAUUUAGAUCAUUGAUCUAUUUUGAGUUAAUUUUCAUACAUGGUGUGAGGUAUGGGUCCAAUGUCAUUCUUUUGCAUUCUUUUGCUCAGCACCAUUUAUUAAAAACUAUUCCCCAAUUGAAUACAAUUGGCACCUUGUAAAAAAAUCAGUUGACCAUAGAAAAUGAAUUUAUUUCUGGACUCCCAAUUCUAUUUAAUUUCUUUAUAUCUUUGUCAUUAUAAAAAAAAAAAUAAAAAAAGUUGUCAUUAUACCAGCACCAAAUUGUUUUGAUUACUGUAGCUUUAUACCAGUUUUUGAAAUAGAGAAGUUUGAGUCCUCUUUGUUUUUAUUUUUCAGGGUUGCUUUGGCUAUUCGGAGCCCCUUGCAGUUUCAUAUGAAUUCAAGGAUUGAGUUUCCCAUUUCUGCCAAGAAACUGUUGGAAUUUGUGACUUGUGGAAUUAAAGAGAGAGAUGCCUGAAAACUAGAGACAGAGAAGUAUAUUUUUCAGAAAGGGGAAGAAGGAAGACUAUAGAGCUUGAUAUGGUCCUCAGGCGAAUAGAGACCAAUUGUUGUGCCUUGGAUGACCACUUGGAAGCUUUUAAGAACCCAGGCACUAUGCAAGGAACCAGGAGGUAGAAAAGAAGCACUAAACAUGUUAUUAGGCCAAUUAACGGGGAUGUCGUGUGAAACUGCGACUCAUGAUGACCCAAUAUAUGCAGAGUAAAACUGGUCUCCACAGGGUUUUCAAGACUGUGGCCUUUCUGAAGCAGAUCACCAGGCCUAUCUUUCAAGGUACCUCUGAGUGGGUUUGAACUGCCAGUCUUUCAGUUAGCAGUCAAGCACUUAAUCGUUUGCACCACCCAGGGACUCCUGAGACAUCGUACCCACUGUUUUUAAUGACCUCAGGAGAUGGUGAAUUUUAUCUCUCUGGGUAAUCUCUCUGGCAUUAACCAGAAUUUUUUUUUUCUUUAGCUUUAAGGCCGUACAACCCACCAGACAUUGGGCCAGCUCACAGGAAACUGAUCAA